GAUCCUGGCUCAGGAUGAACGCUAGCGGCAGGCUUAACACAUGCAAGUCGAGGGGCAUCGGGAGUAGCAAUACUUGCCGGCGACCGGCGCAAGGGUGCGUAACGCGUGAGCAACAUGCCCGUAUCAGGGGGAUAAUCCAUGGAAACGUGGUCUAAUACCCCAUAGUAAUUAUGUAAGGCAUCUUAUAUAAUUUAAAGCUUUGGUGGAUACGGAUUGGCUCGCGUGACAUUAGCUGGAUGGUAAGGUAACGGCUUACCAUGGCUACGAUGUCUAGGGGUUCUGAGAGGAAGGUCCCCCACACUGGAACUGAGACACGGUCCAGACUCCUACGGGAGGCAGCAGUGAGGAAUAUUGGACAAUGGAUGGAAAUCUGAUCCAGCCAUGCCGCGUGCAGGAAGACGGCCCUAUGGGUUGUAAACUGCUUUUGUAUGGGAGCAAUAAGGGCUACGUGUAGUCCGAUGAGAGUACCAUACGAAUAAGCACCGGCUAACUCCGUGCCAGCCGCAGC
rnacentral:rRNA from 1 species